rnacentral:rRNA from 1 species
CCUACGGGUGGCAGCAGUGGGGAAUAUUGGGCAAUGGGCGCAAGCCUGACCCAGCAACGCCGCGUGAAGGAAGAAGGCUUUCGGGUUGUAAACUCCUUUUCUGAGGGACGAAGAAAGUGACGGUACCUCACGAAUAAGCCACGGCUAACUACGUGCCAGCAGCCGCGGCAAUACGGAGGUGGCAAGCGUUAUCCGGAUUCAUUGGGUGUAAAGGGCGUGGAGGCAGGAAAGCAAGUCAGGUGAGAAAACUAAGGGCUCAACCCUGAGCCUGCAUUUGAAACUGUUAGUCUUGAGUGCUGGAGAGGCAAGCGGAAUUCGGUGUGUAGCGGUGAAAUGCAUAGAUAUACGGAAGAACACCGGUGGCGAAGGCAGAUUGCUGGACAGUAACUGACGCUGAGGCACGAAAGCGUGGGGAGCGAACAGGAUUAGAUACCCCAGUAGUC